GGGAACUGUUCUGGAGCUUGGUGUGGGGUGUAGGGGUGGCUGGUUUGGUUCAUCAAAGCUAUGUGUUUAGAACAAACGGAAAAGGGGAAAUUACCUUGUUAUACAGGGAGUGUCCUCAAGAAAGAAGCAUCAGCGGGGCAGAUGGGGGCUUCUAAUAUUUGGCUUUGCAGAGUCCGGUGUGGGCAUGAAGUGAAAAGUGGAGAGGGAGAAGGAAGAUGCUAUGGAUUGAAUGUUUGUUGCCCCCAGUUCAUAUGUUGAAGCUUUAACACACACACACACACACACUCCCCCCACAGUAUGAUGAGCCUUGGAGGUAGGGCCUUUGGGAGUAAUUCGGGUAAGAUGAGGUCAUAAAGGUCGAGCCCCCAUGAUGGGAUUAAUGUCCUUAAAGAAGAAGAGACCAGAGUCCUCCCCUUCUCUCCAGCAGAUACAGCAAGGAGAAAGAUAUGCACAAACCAAGAAGAGCGCUCUCACCAGACACGGAAUCUGCUAGCACCUUGAUCUCAGACUUCCCAGCCUCCAGAAUGGAACUUGGGGAAGUUUAGUAAAUCCCCCAACAUCCCCACACCGAGGAAUACCUGGCUGAAACGCUAAUCCAGUCUGUCUGGCCUGAAGCCCACGUGUUGUCUAUGAUGCUGUUUAGAGAGAAGAGCAAGACAGAAGCCCGAUGUCAUCACGAGGCUAAGAGCGCCACUCACCCAUCUCACCAGCUUUCAGCCUGUCCCAACGUAAGUCUCCAAGAUGUCACACGGCGUAAAGACAGCUGGCUAUUCUGAUGGCAGUUUUCUAAAGACAUUCACUGACACUGUUUUAGCAAAACCCAUGAGUACCUUGAGAUGAAUACAUUAUGAAGACGACUGUCAUCAUGGCCACAUGUGGUAUUAUUUACUCACGUCAGUUUGAAGGAUUAAUGUGACAAAGUGGCUGAGCAGCUAGUAAGAUGGAAAGCCGUGUAGGACGAUUUCUAUGUGAUUUCAAACAAUGCCCGCAGUGUCUACAGCAAGUUGAAGAGACGUGAAUCGCUGGUGCCACGGCCCCCACCUUCCACUGGCUCCCAUUCUCCACUGUGUCCUUCCCCUACACUCCCCACCCCCAGAGACUCCAAAUUUUCCAACUGCAGCCAAGGAGGAGAAAGUGGAGACACUUUUCAUUUCAGCAGCCUGGGGUUGUGAGCAGUGGCAGCUCUCCGGCUGACGUCUCUGGUGACUCCUUAGAUGGCCAGGGGACAGAGAGCCUUGUGGGGCCUUGCAGGAAAGUCCGGGACUGCCGGCUGGUCUUUGCCCCCUUAAACGAGUGACUACAUAGACAAUGUUAAAAACUGAAUAAUGGUGUUGAUGUAUGGCAGAAAGCAAAGCAAUAUUGUAAAGUGAUUAUCCUUCAAUUAAAAAUAAACUUAAACAAAAACACAAAUAAUGCAUCAUUCUGCAGAGAACCGUCAUUGUAGUGGAAGAGUCUGAAAGAGAACGAGGUGCUACAACAAAGCCAGGGGUCUGUACUGUAGGCCUAUUGGUUCUAUAAGUAUCUAAAAUUCUGCUUAGCAAGCACUGGUUUGAUAUACA